GUGAGGAAUAUUGGACAAUGGAUGGAAAUCUGAUCCAGCCAUGCCGCGUGCAGGAAGACGGCCCUAUGGGUUGUAAACUGCUUUUAUACGGGAGCAAUAAGGUCUAUGCAUAGAUUGAUGAGAGUACCGUAUGAAUAAGCAUCGGCUAACUCCGUGCCAGCAGCCGCGGUAAUACGGAGGAUGCGAUCGUUAUCCGGAUUUAUUGGGUUUAAAGGGUGCGUAGGCGGCUUUGUAAGUCAGCGGUGAAAUUUUGCAGCUUAACUGUAAAAGCGCCGUUGAUACUGUGAAGCUAGGAUUUGGUUGCUGUGGGCGGAAUGUGUGGUGUAGCGGUGAAAUGCAUAGAGAUCACACAGAAUAUCGAUUGCGAAGGCAGCUCACAAAGCCAAUAUUGACGCUGAGGCACGAAAGUGUGGGGAUCAAACAGGAUUAGAAACCCCAGUAGUCC
rnacentral:rRNA from 1 species